rnacentral:rRNA from 1 species
UACGGAGGAUCCAAGCGUUAUCCGGAUUUAUUGGGUUUAAAGGGUGCGUAGGCGGCUUAUUAAGUCAGGGGUGAAAGACGGUGGCUCAACCAUCGCAGUGCCUUUGAUACUGAUGAGCUUGAAUACACUUGAGGUAGGCGGAAUGUGACAAGUAGCGGUGAAAUGCAUAGAUAUGUCACAGAACACCAAUUGCGAAGGCAGCUUACUAAAGUGUGAUUGACGCUGAGGCACGAAAAGCGUGGGGGAUCAAACAGG